rnacentral:rRNA from 1 species
UACGUAGGGGGCAAGCGUUAUCCGGAAUUACUGGGUGUAAAGGGUGAGUAGGCGGCUUGAUAAGUCAUAUGUGAAAUUCCACGGCUUAACCGUGGAACUGCAUAAGAAACUGUCAAGCUAGAGUACAGGAGAGGUAAGCGGAAUUCUUAGUGUAGCGGUGAAAUGCGUAGAUAUUAAGAAGAACACCAGUGGCGAAGGCGGCUUACUGGACUGAAACUGACGCUGAGUCACGAAAGCGUGGGGAGCGAACAGGAUUAGAUACCCUGGUAGUCCACGCUGUAAACGAUGAUAGCUAGGUGU